UACGUAGGGACCAAGCGUUGUCCGGAAUUAUUGGGCGUAAAGAGCUCGUAGGCGGUCUGUCGCGUCGGAUGUGAAAACCCAGGGCUCAACCCUGGGCCUGCAUUCGAUACGGGCAGACUAGAGUUCGGUAGGGGAGACUGGAAUUCCUGGUGUAGCGGUGAAAUGCGCAGAUAUCAGGAGGAACACCGGUGGCGAAGGCGGGUCUCUGGGCCGAAACUGACGCUGAGGAGCGAAAGCGUGGGGAGCAAACAGG
rnacentral:rRNA from 1 species